rnacentral:lncRNA from 1 species
GUGCGUUCCCGUUCCAUUAUUUGGAAACAUACAGCCUUUUCUCAAAAUUGAAUUAGUGCUAGAGUUGUGGAAAAAUUGGUCCAAAUGAUUUUUCUCUUUAUAAUUGUUAUUGGCUCAUCCAGGGAUAUCUUUGCAAGGAAUGAUCUCUCUUCUAAAAGGCCAUAUGUAGAGCCUUCACUGCUUCUUGGAUAUCAAGACUGUAGUGCAUCUCUGAUACCUAAUGGGACCAUGUUUUAUCCCUCUUUAUUCUACCAACAUCAAAUUGAUGCUAGUAGACUUCACCUAGCUCCUCAGAGAAUAAAUGGUGUAUUUUCUGCUGAGGAGUCAGCCAUUGCAUCAGGGGAAUCAAAGUCGAGACAGUCGAGGCAUUCACAGAGGAAUAGAAGCCUUGCUAAUCUUCAUGUAGAUACUUACAUUGGUCCUCAAAUUAACAUUUGGGGCUUGCCGGCAGAAAGGAGCCCACUUGCUCGUAAUUUGACUGAAGAUGACAUUCUUGAAAUGGUUUGUGUUUCCUGUCUUACCAUUAUUUAUUUAGAAGUUCUCAUCUUACCCUUAAUUUUUAAUUAUUGAUGCACAUAGGUCAAAAGGAUUGUUCUUGUAUUUGUCAAGAAGAUGAAAUACUCUUUUGUACUCUCUCAAAGUUUGCUGAUGAUUUCAAUUUUCAGCCAAGAAAGCUUAUUUUCUCUUGUUUCUGACUAUUUGAUAUCUAUCAUCCUUCUUUUCUUUGAAUGCAUAUGAAUCUGUACUUUGAGUGCAUUUUAUACAAAAAUGGUUAUCUACUGUUGAAGGCAUAUGCCAGAAAUUGCCCAAUUCAGUAAUUUUUAACUUACAAGGCCUCCACCAGAUUUCUUGAUACUGGACCGUAUGUCAUCUGAUUCUUUCUGUAGUUAGACUUUCAAAUCUUCUGUUUGUAUGAUAAGACUCACAGGUGUGGACUUACAAUUCCUUAAACAAAUGCACAUCUGUUGAACCUUGAUACCAUUAACUGUAUUAGUUUAAAUCAAAUUUCAUAGCAAAAUGGUUUAUAAGAUUUUAGUUUAAUUCCCAACUUUACAUGAAUCCUGGUUGUCUUAGAAGUCAAUGUAAGUCCUUUUUCAUUGUGUAAUAAUUCCUGCAGUUACAGAGAACAGACUGGGAACUUGUAUAUGUAUAUAUAUACACCCAUAUAGUUUUCAAUUGUAGAGGGAAAGUUAUCAGGUUAUUCACAUCCAAGGGUGUAUGACCUAGUGGUCAAUGAAGUGGGCGAGAACUAUGAUGUCUCAAGUUCAAAACCCAACAGAGGCAAAAACUAGGUGAUUUCUACCUCAACAGAGUUACCGGGUACCUAUGCCGCCGGUGGAGUCCGCAGGUACCUAGUGGGAUUAGUCAAGGUGCACACAAGCUGGCCGGACACCACCAGUUAUAAGAAGUUAUUAGGUUAUUCCUAUUUUAUUGGUGAAGUUUUUCUUUUUCUUUGGUGCUUUAUGCACCUUGACAUAGGGGCUAGUCCAAGGAAAUGCUAGGUGGGAUUCGUAGACAUUCUUCUUCUUUACAUUUGCCCCCUACCCCCCAUUAAGUAACACACACACACCAGCAACUUCUCUCUUUCCCCCUCUCUUGCAUGGCUGCUAUUUAAGGCCUUCUGACUCAUAUUGUCUCUUAGACUGCUGUAAUAUUGAUAUUUUCAAGACACUGUAGUUCUUAUGUUUUUAAUACAUCAUAAUUUAUUCACCUGGCUCCUAGCUAUGAACUUAGCAGGUUGCAUAUUCUCUGUCCUUGCCGAAUUUAAUUUGAAGAAUGUUUUUAAACAAGUGUAAUACUUCAUGAGCCACAUGUUGUAGCUGUUAGAUCCACCAUCAAAUCAUGUUGCCAUAAUUAAGAUAUUACUGUAAACUUGUUGUUCAUACUCCUUUCUCUUGUUGCAGACAUAUGAAGAGUAUCUUGAAGCUUAUAGCAGAGGCAGCAAAAGAUCGCCCCACCCUGUUAGUUCUCUUUGACAUUUUUCUUGUUAUAUAUUCCUCUAUUAUUGAAUAAACUCAUGAACCAUGCUCUGUUGGGUUGGAUUUUUAACUGUAAAAAGUUCACCUUUAUCCUUUUAUUUAAUAUCUGUUCUGGAAAAUCUAUUCUAAUUUCCUUUCUUUUCGAAUAAAAGCUUGUAGCAUUUAGCAUUUCCUUAUAGUGCUAUAAGCAAGAGAUGGCUAGCUCAAUUGAGGAUCUUGUGUCUUAAGUCACAAGUUUGAACCUUGCACCAAGUGAACUAAGUCUAGUAUUAAGGAUAGAGGGGCGGGUCCAUCAUCUCCGGGUUUUGAAACUCACGGAUGCCCAAACCAUUGGCUCCAGAUGAACUUCUUGUUCAUAAAAAACUUGGGGCGACUCCCAUGCCUCUUUUUUCUCCAUGCUAUCUAGUGGUUGAUGAUCUGGAUGUGGUUGGUUCUCUGGGUGAAGUAUUGUGAUAAAUUCAUGUGCUAUAGUUAGGGUCCUCGAAAUUUCAGUCUCUGUUCUGCUCUUUAGCAUGAGAUUUGAGUCUUGCGUAUCUACCAUUUCACCACCUAGGCAUCUUGUAAGUGAAUCAUAUUCCAUGAAUAUGUUAUCUAUCUAGUUUUGUAGAUGGCAUUUCCUUUUGUUUUCUCUAGCACGAUGAAGUGGUUCAUUAAUGUAUUUAAACUCAGUUUUUGAAAGUGCCCUUGUUCGACAUUUGUAUCUGCGGAGCGUUUCUUAGUGUGGAUAUCCAUGACUUGCACUCAGAUUUUUAAUGAAGAAUCUUUCGCUAGAAAGGAUUCUGAACAAAACAGCAGGUUUCCAUUGUGCAAUAAGUUACCUCUCUUUAUCUAGGUUUCAGGACCAUCACGGAGUACACAGAGGUCAUUAGCCAGUGAAGAAAACUGUGAUGAUUCGUAAGUUUUUUUACUUCUCAUUUCCAACACACUUGGGAUGCAACGAACCAGCUGAGUGACCUAUAUCUAUUAUCUUUGCAGGCAAUCAGGUUUCAGUUCAAAGAAAAGGAGGAGUCACUAAAUCUCCCUAUUGGUGGCAUUGGUUUUCUUGGCGAGCAGGCUGAUAUGGUUGAUAAUUGUAUUGUUGCAUUUGUCGCGAAGUGGUGGCUCUUGCGAAAUUGUUCCUUUAUUUUUGUAAAACUUAAAACUUAGGAGAAUAUAUUGCUAUAAUGUUGGUAUAUCUGUACUGUAUUUUAUGACCCUCUUGUCACCCUUCUCCCCUUCCUGUUUUCGAAUGGAAAAUUUUAUACUGUCAAUGGAAACUUGUACAGGAAAUUAGCAAGUCUCUCUAUACUCAUAUACUCAUUCUUGAUAAAGUCAGUACUGUAUAGAAAUGGAUAAUAUCUUUUUGAUUAUUGGGAUGGAGAGGAAUUAUUCUUCUUUUCCCUUUGAGGCAACUUGUUAUUCUUGAAGAUCAUUUUAAUGGUCUAUCAAGUAUGUAUAUUCGGGUUUGUGUCCUAGGUAUAGAAAAAUUCUUGGUAGGGAGGACUUCCCUUGCGAAAUGGGGCCCUACGCGAUGUGUUUCCGGAAUAGUCGGGAUUAAAAGCACAUAUUGAACACCGGAUGGAAAAAAAAAAGAUAUGUAUAUUCGGAGGAAGAAUAGUCUUUGAGAGGUUGUGGCACUGAUGAAUUGCUCAUGGGGUUGUGGUCCGCCUUAAAGACAGCAUGAUGGACAUCAAAAUAGUUUGUAAUAUAUAAAUACACGUUUGUUUGUGAUGCAGCAUGAUUAUUUUGAAAAGUCGUAUAAUUAUAAAAACUCUUGAAGUAGUAUAAAAAAAAUAUUUAAUUAUAAACGUGAGUUUUGUUGUAUUUUGAAGGAUAUUUAUUGUAAUUUUUCUAAUGUAUAUAUGAAAAAUAUCUCUUUAAGAUUAUCUUGAAAGUUAUGUGAUGACAUGAAAUACCUUAUUGGGAUAAAUCAUACCUAUAUAUUUAUGAAAGUUGAUUCUUUUAUGCAUCAAAAUAAUUUCUUCUUUAAUUACAUAUUUUUUAUUCUUUAACGCAUAGUGGCUCAAAAAGUCAGUGUGGCUUGGCGAUUUAUGAAGUUGGAAUAACAAGCAUGCAAAAUUAUUAUAUAAUUAACUCUUAAUAGAAGUAAAAAAAAAAAAAAAAAUGUUUUUUAGUUUGUUUUGAUCUUUGUUAAAGCGGAUUAAAAAACUACUUGUACUGAUGAGCAGAUUAGGUAUCUAGUAAGAAUGAAGUUUAUUUGAGUUUAGAUUGGCCAAAGACAAAACUUAUCUUGAGUUGAAUCUAUGAGCCCCUCAACCCACCCCACUCACCCCCCCCCCACUAGAAAAAUGAAACUCAUCGAGAGUGAAGCUUGUCAAGUAUGAACAAUGAUUUUAUUCAAAUAUCUUGAGGCACUAAGAACGUAGCUCAUCUUGAGUUGAUCCACAAAGUUUCAAUAAUUCAACGUGGAUAAUUAUUUUAAUAAAGUAUCUUGAACCACUAAAUACGAAAUUAAUUAAGAGUAAAGCUACAUCCUUACCAUCACAAAUAAUGCUUUGAGUCGAAUAUGUAAAACUCAAACAAUAAAACUCAUCGAAAGCAGAUAUCGAUAGUAAUUCAAAAUGAAUAGUAAUUUGAGUUGCUUACUAAGAAUGGGGCUUAGUAGUUCAAGGUGAAUUACGAUUUGAAUCGAGUCUCCCUAACCCCCAAAGAUGGAACUAACUAAGAGGUGAACUUAAUUGCGGAUAGUUCAAAAAUAAUAAAAAAAAUGACGUGAAUAAUGGUUUUAAUAGGUUAUUCUAAUUAGUCGAAUAAGUAAAUAUAAAAAUAAAAUAAAAUUAUAAACUUAAUUUUACUAAACAGACCAACAAAAAUCCUAUUUUUUAAAAUCACAACAUAAUUUAUUGAUGCAAUAGACCCUAAUGGUCCGACCCUUUCCGAGCUCGAAUUAACCAAGACACCAUUUGGCCUUUUAUUAGUCCUUUGUCCAACACAUUUAGUAGAAAGAAGUAGUUUCAAAAUCAAAUUUCCCCCCUUUUCCAAUUUGUAUAGGGUUUACUGUUUCUACAAAUUCCAUACCAAAAUCCAUAUAUACAUCGAAAAUUAACAAUGGAGAACGGUGAUGGAACAAAUGGGAAAAGGAUAAGGGCUGAAGAUGUGAUAUGUGAGCUCAAGGACGAUGGCGAUUUCGAUAAAUUUCGCCUCAAAAUUGUCAGUAUUUGCUCAUUCUUUGGUUUUGUUGUUUAGGGUACUGUUAAGAGUAUUUUUUAUCUUCGGUUUCUGUAUUGUUUUAUCUGUUUUUACAUCAAUUUACGCUAAAUCCUGAGUUGGGUUUUGUUCUUUUUACUCUAUCAAAAUUGUAUGUGAUUGGUAUUGGAAAUUCAGCAUAAUUAUUGGAUUUAAGUUAUAUACACUGGGAGUGAUGUUAGAGUAGAAGGUUAAUAGGCAGUAGAGUGUUGUUUUUGUAGUGUGUUAUUAUUAUUAUAAUUACUCCGAUGUAUGUGUAUCUUAUUCCUGGAUUUUAUUAUUACUUGUUGUUCUCUUGGUUUCAGUUAUUGUAGUGCUAGUUGUUGAUAAAGCUCUUCUAUUUUUUUUUUUUGAAAUGGCUUAUUUGCUGUUGCUUUGGUAUGUUUGAUAUGCUUUACUUGAGCUGAGGGUCUUUCGGAAACAACCUCUUUACCUUCACUUGGUACUUGGUAGGGCUAAGGUCUGCAUACAUAUUACCCUCCUAGACUCCAUUUGUGAGAUUACAAUGGGUAUGUUGUUGUUGUUGUACUCUGGGUGUGCGGCGAGGUGUGUAGUUUUUGUGGGCUGGGGGCCUUCAAUAGAGAAAAAAAGAUGAGGCAAGGGGUGUAGUUUUUCUAGGACGGGUGCUUUCUAUCGAGGAAAAAGGGUGUGUAUAGGUAGGCUCGAGCUAUAUAUUACUUUCCACCAGAAUGGGAAGACUGUGAUACGUGGCAUGUAGUUUCUCUGGUGUGGGUGCAGUAUACAGAAAAAAAAAAAAAAGGGGUGCAAAGAUAGGCUUAAGCUAAGAUUCCACUUGCGAGCAUAGUGGGCAGACUGUGGUAUAAGGCAUGUAGUUUUGCCUCCUAUAGAGAAAAAAAGAGGUGUGGGUAGACUGUGAUAUGACUUAUGAGGCAUGCAUUUCUGGGGCAGGUGCCUCCUGUUUAGGUGAAAAGAGGUGCAGGGGUAGGCUUGAGCUAAGAUUCGACUUGUGAACAUAGUGGGCAGACUGUGAUACUGACUAAUGGAACAGAGAUCAGGGUGAUCCAGUAGUUGAUGGAUACAAAUGUACAUUAAAUAAUUGUAGCAUUAUCAAUUCAACCUAAUUCUUAUUAACUGGCUGCACCAGGUCGCUAACCCUUCUUGCAGAGUACAAAUCUACGCUUAUACUAGAUUGCUAUUUGUCGUUUGUUUUUAAAUAGCUUGAUAAUCAUAUUGUCAGUGUAAAAAAUUAAACCUUUAAGACCAUAAUUGUGUAGCACACGUCCUACAUAUGUAGUUUUGCUUGUUUCAGCUAACAUUUGGAGACUUAACAUUAUUAAAAACAAAAAUCUGCUUCUCCUUAAUUUGAAAUCAUAGAAGUACAAACAAGGGGAACUAAGGACUUUACAGGAUGCAAAAAGGACUUACUGGCAGGAUUCUAGUGGCAUGUUAAACUUGAACAGGCCUUUACUUGAAAGCUUUAGUUCUGUUGCAUCUACUAUAAAAUUAUGUUAAACAGAACUAAUCGUACAAAAGGUCAAUCAACAAGCAUUCCAUAACUGAGGUUCUGACGUCUUCUCUUUUGCCAAAAGAAUACCUUGAUUAUUAAUCUAUUGGGUUGCUAGUUAAGCUAGACCAAUAGAAGCUUACUGCUCAGCUUGUAUUAGGGCUGGGUUUAAUUCAGUAUGAGUUGGUGCAAAGUAAUUUCAGAUUGAUUUUGACUAAAGGUACACUUCGUGCAAGUUCAGGGUGAAUUUGCUUAGAGUAAGAAUCUUUUAGUUGUUCUUUUCCAUCCCUACAAGAAGUUCUGGUAACAGCUGGUUAUAGUUGUAGUUCUGUCUCGGCUCUGUCUACCUCUGUGCAGUCUGGACUUUUUUUGAUAUUCAGGUACGAGUAAUUCAACUUUGCUCGGCAUAUUCACUUUUUUGUUACAUAUAAUUAUCUUUUAAGUGAAUUGAUAAAAUAAAUUCUCUUUGAUUAUGUAAAUUUGCUCGGCAUAUUCUGUUGAUUAUCAGUUUGUUCAGCUCUUUGUUGUGUCAUUUCCACUAGCAACUAGUUUUAGGUUCUAAUUUAGGUAUCAUGCCAAGUAUAUAUGAAACAAUUAAAUAUUAGUUUUACCAUCAAUAAAAAAUAAAUAAAUUAAUUGAUCAUCAUUCUUCAUAAAUUUUAUAAGUUUAACUUUUUUGCUAAGCUUUCUUAGCAACCAAUUGCACAUAGUUUCUUUUUUUGUUAUAAAAAAUACUUGCAUGCAUAAGAAAGAGUUGUUUGUUCUUAUUGGUAUGAUCAAUCUUAUCUCCACGUGUAAGUUUCUUUGUUGUUAGAGGCUAAAUAGUUCAUAUCUAAUACUAUAUUAUCUUACACAUGUUCCUUACAUUUUAUUACAAUCUUCUUUUUAAGGAAAUGUCCCAAAAGCUAUGUACAUUUUCUAAAGACUUGUAACUAAGCUUCUUUUUAUUUAGUUUGAAGAGCUUUAAAAGUGAAUUUUCUUUCUUCAGUUGUCGAAAGUCUCUUAAGCAAUCUAAGGAUAUUAAUUCUAUCACAUCGGAGUCCAACGCAAAAUUCUUGCUUCUACCUUCUCAUUUAACUUGUUGCUUUGAAGACAAAAAAUAAGAAGGAUUUGUAGUAACAACAAUAGAAAUAAUGAAACAAAGAAGAAGAAACGGAAGGAAGACGACGAUGAUGAUUAUAAGAGAAGGGAGGGAAUAAACAAAAUUGAAAUCUGAAUAUGAAAAGCGAGUAUGUACAUUUCAUUUUUUAAAUAUUUAAUAUUACCCCAAAAUAAUUAUAUUAAUCAGGCUUGUCUUUACUUAAUCCUGAUUAAAACUGAUCAAGGUCAGUUUCUUUUUGUUAUUAAGACUUGAUAGAUCCCUUUAACUUUAUGAAUAAUUAGUAGUACAAUAUGUCUUUUUAUAAAUUAAGAUUUUAAUUUUUGUAGAUUAAAUAAAUAUUGUGCAAAUAAUGUUCUGUCACUAUCUUUAUUAUUUCAAUUAUUUUAUUUAUUAACCAAAAAAAGAAGGGGAGUAUUGUUUUUUAUUAUUGGUACUAUUUUUUUAUUAUUGUUGGUACUAUUAUUUUAACCAUAUUAUAUUUCCUUAUUUCCCUCUAAAUGAAACAAAAACAAAUAUAAAGUAUAAUUGUUUGGGCCAAAUUGAGUCUUAGAGACAGACAAAUUAAAGAACAACUUUAUCUCCAUUUGAAAAACUACUUUUCUACCGUGUUCUCUCUCCCUCUCGUUCCAACCGGAGUUUUCUCUGUAAAUUUUAAGGUAAAUUCUCCUUUCCAUCUUCAGUUUUGCAGCAUAGAGUUACUUCAAUUAUUACUGAAACCAAAGUUUACAUGGAAAAAUAGAUACUCUUUUUGGUCAUUCAAUUUCUUACUCGUUCAGAAUGAAUGUUGAAGAGUGUAAUUCCGUAGUUGUUUUGGAUGUAAAGAAACAAUUUUUUUUGUUGACUGAGUGGUUUUAUCAUGUGGGGUUUCUUCUUCUUUUUUUUGGGGUCGAAUUUUGUUGAAUUCUGUGAGUAUUUUAUUAUAAUGUGGAAGUUGUAAAUGAUUCAUUUUUAAGCAAAGAAUUUGCAGAUUGAAUUGUUUUAUUAUGUGGGUUUCUGGGGAAUGACCCGGAGGUUUGUUGAAGUUUUAUUUGCAUUGUGUGAGUAUUUUGAUUAUUAUUUUGAAGUUGUAAAUGAGUUAUUUAUAAUCAUAGAUUUGUAGACUGAAUUGUUUUGUCAUGUGGGUUUGAGAAGAGUUAGAGGUCGACUCGAGAAGUAUUAGAGAGAGAGAGGUGAAUAGAUAGGAGAUGACGUAGUUUUAGCGUGCUGUGGACAUGAUCUUAGAUAGGAGGGUGUGGAGGACACGAUCAGGGUAGAAGGUUAGUAGGUAGAAGUGUGUUGUGUCCAUUUGUAUUAGUUGUAGUAUUGCUCUUGUAGUUUCAUGUCGUUCAAUUUAUGGUAUUGUUUUUUUUUAGUUUCUGUUCUGUUACUAUCUAUUGUUUUUGUUAUUAGUUGUUGUUUCUUGAUCUUUCGUUACUUCUUUUUGGGAUUGCUUUGGACUAUUUUUCCUUGAACCGAGGGUUUAUUUGAAACAACCUCUCUACCUAUGAGGUAGGGGUAAGGUUUGCAUACCUUCUAACCUCCCCAAACCCCACUUUGUGGGACUACACUGUUUAUAUUGUUGUUGUUUGAGAGUUUUUUUCCUUUUUUUGAUAGAGAAAGAUGAAUAGACUUUAGAUGUCUAUUUUAGUUGAAGUCUCUCGAAAUAGUGAGCAUUAUGUUAAAAUGUCGAAGAAUGUACUCUUAAGUAUCACUCCGAUACAUUGUUGGAUGUUUUAAGUGUUUAGCAGUUGCAAUUAAUCAUGAUUAAAAUGGAUUAAUAUCACCUUGCUUUAGUUAUUUAAGACUUGAGAGACCCAAUAUUAAAUCUCCUUACUUUAAUGAAUAAUUAGUAUUAUGUCUUUUUAAAUAAAGAUUUUAAUUUUGAAAAGUAGAUUAGGUAAAUCUUGUUCAAAUAAUGUCCUAUUACUAUCUUUAUUAUUUCAACCAUUUUUAUUUAUUAACCAAAAAAAAUGGAGUAUUGUUUUUUAUUAUUGGUAUUAUUAUUUUUAACCAUAUUAUAUUUUCUUAUUUCCCUCUAAAUAAAAUAAAAACAAAUAUAAAGUAUAAUUGUUUGGGCAUAAUUAGGUCUUAGAGACAGAAAAAUUAGGGCACAGUUUUAUCUCCGUCUGGAGAACUGUUCUGUUAUUCCGCUCUCUCUCGUUCCAACCGGAGUUUUUUCUGUGACUUUUAAGGUAAAUUCUCUCCAUUUUCAGUUUCGCGGCAUAAAGUUACUUCUAAAAACGCUGAAACUAGAGUUUACAUGGAAAAAAUUGAUUAACUCUUUGGCCAUUCAGUUUCUUACUUGUUCGGGAUGAAUGUUGAAGAGCCUAAUUCUGAAGUUGUUUUGGCUGUAAAGGAAUAUUUUUUUUGCUGAUCGAGUGGUUUUUUCAUGUGGGAUUUCUUUCUUUUAUGAAAUAAUGAACUGUUGGUCGAAUUUUGUUGAAUUCUGUGAGCAUUUUUUGUUAUGAUGUUGAAGUUGUAAAUGAAUCAUUUAUAAGCAAAUAAUUUGCAGAUUGAAUUUUUUUAUUACGUGGGUUUCUGGGUUUUUUUCUUUUUUCCUGAAAGAAUGAUGAAUGAAUCAUUUUUGGUCAUUCAGUAUCUUACUUGUUAGGAAUGAAUGUUGAAGAGUGUAAUUCCGAAGAUGUUUUGGCUGUAAAGAAAUAGUUAUUUUUGUUGACUGAGUGGUUUUAUCAUGUGGGGUUUCCUUUUUUUUUUCUUUAAGGAAAGAUGAAUGAACUGUUGUAAAAGUUGGUUGGAUUUUAUUGAAUUCUGUGAGCAUUUUAUUAUAAUGUGGUUGUUGUAAAUGAAUAAUUUUUAAGCAAAGAAUUUGCAGAUUGGAUUGUUUUAUCAUGUGGGUUUCUGGGGGGUGAAUGACCCGGAGGUCAGUUGGAGUUCUUAUUGAAUUCUGUGAGCAUGUUAUUAUUAUGUUGAAAUUGUAAAUGAAUUAUUUAUAACAUAUAAUUUGUAGAGUGAAUUGUUUAAUCAUAUGGGUUUGAGGAGAGGUAGAGGUAGAUUGGAUAAGUAUUAGAGAGAGAGAGGUGAUUAGAUAGGAGAUGACGUAGAUUUAGCUUUCUGAGGACAUGAACUUAGAUAGGAGGGUGUGGAGGACGCAGUUAGGGUAGAAGGUUAGUAGGUACUAGGUAGAAGUGUGUGCUGUCUGUUUGUAUUAGUAGUUGUAGUAUUGCUCUUGUAGUUUCAUGUUCUUCGAUUUCUGUUACUAUCUUUUGUUCCUUAUACUUCUAUUAUGGUAUUGUUGUUUUGUAGUGUCUGUUCUGUUACUAUCAUUGUUUUUGUUAUUAUUUGUUGUUUCUUGCACUUCCGUUACUUCUUUUUGGGAGUGCUUUGGACUGUUUUCCUUGAGCCGAAGGUUUAUUCGAAACAACCUCUCUACCUAUGAAGUAGGGAUAAGGGUUUGUGUACCCUCUACCCUCCCCAAACCCCACUUUUUGGGACUACAUUGGUUAUAUUGUUGUUGUUUGAGGGUUUUUUACUUCUUUUUUUUAUAGAGAAAGAUGAAUAGACUUUAGCUUUCUAUAUUAGUUGAAGUCUCUCGAAAUAGUGAGCAUUAUGUUAAAAUGUUGAAGAAUGUACUCUAAGUAUCACUCUGACACACUGUUGGAUAUUUAAGAGUUUAGCAGUUGCAAUUAGCAAAUAGCAAGAUUGAAAGGAGCAGAGAUAUUAGAAAUGAAAAGGGAAACUGAAGAAGAAGAAGGGAAAAUUUCAAAUUAAAAGGAGAAAAGUUGUUCAUGAAAGAGAGACUUUACCCUUACACUUCUGCAAUGAAUCAAGAGGUGUGUAAAACUCAAACUACUAAACCAAAUGAUGAGGGUGCUAGUGAAAGACAAUGGAUAAAAGUAGACUAAAGUUUAAAUGUAAAACUUUAAUUUAAAAGAUUAAUGAAUCUGAAGUUCAGUUUGUAAGUCAUGAACAACUCUGGUGCCACACGUAGUAAGAAUUUUGUCAUUGCCUUACACAAGCAGGUUUGGAUUUUGGAUGGGGGUAGAGUGGUAGACUCUUUUAUAUCUUUAGAAAUCUCAAUAUUUGCUAUGAGAGAAUGCAUAAUUAGGAGGAUAAGUGUAGAAUGCUGGUCCUCAAAUUGUGUUAAAUGACCUUUGUCUUGUAAGUAAGUUUCUACCUUUCUUACAUAUGCAAUAGGAUUCAUCUUGGAAUGACUACUUGAUAUGGACAGAGAAAACCUAAAACAAAGUACUAAAAACUUUUUUCUGCAAUUUUCUCUUUGUUUUAGUUGGCACGGAUGAGUUCUGUAGAUUUUUCAGUUUCCUGCUCUUUGGAAUGCCAUGUUCCCAGUUGCCACAAUAGCAUCCAUAUGAUAAUCAAACUCUAUUUCUUUGAAGGUUGAUGAUCUGUAUUAGGUUUGGAUUUGAUUUGUGAUUAAUUGCUUAUUGGAAACAAUCUCUCUACCCCAGAAAGAUAGGGUAAGGUCCGGGUACAUCCUGCCCUCCCCAGAUCCCACUUGUGGGAUUACACUGGGUAUAUUGUUGUGGCAUUUAUAAAUGAUUUCAUCUGAGAAUUUUCUUCUAGUGUUCCAUAUUUCUAGCUUUUCAAGGAGUUCUGUGCUUCCCUAUAUACUAAAUGAUGAUCUUCAUACAGUACGACAGAGAGCCAAGCCUGCUCCUUGCAGUCUCUUUAUUUGUUGUUAUCGUGUUUAGAACACGUAUGUUCUAUGCUCCUCAACCUAACAUAUACAGCCUGAUUGGUCGACCUAAUAUACAACCUAAUAUGAUUAUUUACUGUAGUGAGGUUUUAAUUUCUUAAGUUUUCCUCAUUUUACCUUCUUAUAUAUAUUAUUUUUCUUCUUUGAGGUUUUGUACUCUUAAACCUAAUUUUACUGUCAUUCUGUUACCUUUUUUUACAGCAGGAGGUUGUAAGCAGAUAUGCCGUCAGAUACUGCAAGAGAAAAUGCAUCUAUAGCUAAUUCCAUAGUGACUGACUGCAAAAAUGAAAGAAGGAAUUUUGAUGGACCAGGUAACCCUGAUACGAAAUCUAUUCAUAAUUCAGUUAUCUGUGUGGGUUUUGUUUUGUUUUGUUUUGUAUAUUUUUUUUUUUGAGUAGUUGCUUCUGUUGAGAUUUGUUACAAGGUUUCCUUGAAUGUGUCUGCAUGACAAAGACAAGGAUGUGGUCAUUUACACUGGCCCACAAUUUAAUAUUGGUGCAAAAGUUGUAUGCUUCAAGUAUCUUUUGGUUGGCUUUUCUAUUCAACUGAUGAGCAAUAAGUAUUCUUUAACGUGUUAGGGAUGGCCAAACAAUUAGAGUCUUUUCUACUUUGACUGGAGCUUCACUUGAGAAAUAGAAAGAGCAUGCUGAAUUUGAUAGAAAGGAGGUCCACUAGUUAGUAAUUUGUGAUGCCAUGAAGAGCUCUAGUUACUCACAUGGUUUCUUGAGGCUGUAAGCUGGCUUGAUAUUAUUAGGUCUUUCCACUAAACCACGCAAAACUGAGCCUGUUUGAUUGGGCUUAUAGCUUUUGAUUUAUAAGCCAAAAUCCAUAAGUUAGGAAUUCUAACUUAUGGCUUUUGGCUUUUUUUUUGCCUAUUUGGCUUAAAAAACUUAAAAACACUUUUUUAUUUUACCCAAACACUACAAAAGUGCUUUAUAACACUUGAAAUAAUCUAAUCCAAACAGGCUCUAAAUCUUUUCAUAAUUCAAUUCUGUGUGUUGUUCAUUUGUAUGAACAGUCAUGGCUGUCUUCGAGAUUGUGUAGAAGUUUCACACCCUCCAUGAAUUUGUACGCAUAAAAUGCAGAGAUGGUUUAGAUGCACAACUUUUAUUCCCGUCCAAUGAAUGUGACACUUCAAGUAUCUUUUGGUUGGAAAUGCUAUGAAGUUCAUGGAGCAAUAACACUGCAUAACUUCAUCAUUUCAACACAAUUUGUUGGAGAAACAAAGGUUAAAUCGAACGAUAAAUGUUACUUAUUGAUGAGAAUAAACGCUAUGGUUUUUUCCUUUUCUUUUUGUGUUAAAACUCUGUUGUCAGCAUCCUUUUCUGACAUUCCAUCAAGAUUUUGGCCCUUGUCUCUAAUUAGCCUAAUAGUUCUUUAUUCCACAUAAUGUCCCUCUUGAGAUGCCUUAAUUUCUUCAUAAGGACAUAAUCUGGACUUCCAGUUACUUGAUAAUGUUGCCCCCAUUAAUAAAAUUACCUUAUUUUAUAAAUAAAUUAGUGAAGAUACAAGGAGCUUCAGUGACUUGCAUAGCUUAUUGAGUAUGAACAAUCUGGCGUGGCCCUUGUCCAAAAAAAAAGUACAAUCUGGCUUGGAAUUAAUUUGUUUACAAUGAGAUAAAAAAGAUAUGCGAUUGUUGAGAAAGUUGAACCUACAAAUUUAUGUAGUACUUUACUUCUUAAGAAUUGGAAUCCAAUUUCAUGGCUUCAUAAUGAACCUGUGGUGUACAUAAAGUUUGGAAUCUUUUGAUAAAACUUUCAACCUGUUGUCUUAUUGGAUUUUAAUAUUGCGAAUCCUCAUAGAUAUCGUGUAGCAUCCUUGAUGAUCAGUGUUCAGGAGCUAACUCCGUUUUGUCUAAUUUCUUGUUAAAUUCAACAUCUCCUGACUGUAACCUUUAUGAAGUUUCACGCUACCUGAUCACAGAAAUAAAAAUUAAAAAGAAGACAUCUUGUAGCUUCGUUGUCCUUGACAUGAAAGUAGUGGUUAAAUGAUAAGUAUAUGGAUUACUAUAUACUGGUACAUCUACAUGAUUCAAAUUUAAAUAUGAACUCUUUUCUCAGAUAGUUCAAGGCUCGGAGUAAAUGAGGAUACCAAUCGUUCUAUAGCAGAGGAGCUCACAGUUUCAUCUCCGCCGUUUGGAAUUUCAAGUGCAAUUGAAAACGGUAAAACUUCCAACCUGUUGUCUUAUUGGAUUUUAGUAUUGUUUGACAAGUAGCUUGGGAAUGACAAUACGUAAUCCACUCCCUCUCUCUCUCUCUCUCUCUCUCCACUUUGGGAAUAACAGGCUUAUUGUGUUCUCAAAAAGUUCACUUAUUUUAUCUGAACUUUAGGGAAUGACUCCAUGAAGUUCUUUCAGUUUCCACUCCUUUUGGUGCAUUCUAUGUCAUUAUAGUAACUAGGAAGUGCUACAUGAGUGUAUAUGUGUUAAUUAUAAUACAUUACCUUGUGAAUUGAUUGUCCUCUAUGUUCUUAUUCAUGAAAAAUACUGCAAUCCAACUUCUUGCCAAAUUUUGCUUAUUGAAUCUUUUUUUUUUUGAAACUGGUAAGGUUGAAUUCUUCAGCAUUAAGGGUAUGCUGGCUACCUCCAAAAAGGGGUAAUUACAGAUUUCCUAUCAAAAUCUAGUAAUCUGGUCUAUAUCAUCUAUACAAAGCUGUUUAACACCAAAAAAGUAGAGAUACUAUACAAUUCCAUUUAACUUUGUGGAUGGAAUUGGAUCUAUCUUCAAAACAUCUUCCAUUUCUUUCUUUCCAGACUGAUCACCAUACACAUGAUGGUAUUAGCUUCCACCAUCUCUUUUGACUCUUACUGCCUCCCCUCCUAAUCCAGCAGCUCAACAGAUCUGAUGUAUGUUCUGGCAUUGUCCAGUUCAUGCUUGUGAUGUUGAGAAACAAGUUCCAAAAUUUGAGCAGUAAACUUACAAUGCAGGAAGAGAUGGUUAUUUGUUUCCCCAGUCAAGUUGCACAAAAAACACCUAGGGACCAGUUGUCUGCCUUUCUUUUGUAGAACUUCUUCUGUUAAGCAUGCUCUCUUUAUCACUAACCAGGAGAAACACUUUACUUUUGUAGGAAUGUCACUCUUCCAAAAGUAGUUCCAAUUAUAUUUUGGGGCCCCUGUCAUCCCCAGUGGUCCUCUUUUGUAGGCAUUGUUGACUGAGAAGACUCCAUCCUUACUAUGUUUCCACAGGAUCUUGUCUGUUGUUGUUGUAGUUAUAAUCAUUCCAGCUAGUUUUUCCAGUAGCGCUGCCACCCUCUCCACCUCCCAGUCAUUAAGUAGUCUUCUUAAAGAUAUGUCCCAUCCCUGUUCUGUCCAACAAUCACUCACUCUAGCAUCAGGGUUCUCACAGAUUUGUUUGGAAAAAGUUCUCUAAGAGAGGUUUGGUCUAUCCAGCCAUCUUUCCAAAAUUUAGUUUUGUUUCCAUUACCCCACCUUAAUAUACAUAUUUCCUUCCAUUUGUGACCAUAGGUUCCUGAUUGUCCUCCAGACCCCCACCCCAUAUGGUUCAGAGGUGGUUUUUGUACUCCAGGGAUUUAGUUCUCCAUAUUUUGCUACUAUAACCUCCUUCCAGAGAGCUGCAUUAGUACACCAGGGGUAAUUUUUUUUUUUUUUUUUUUUUUUUUGAAAUAGUUAACUUUGUAUUAUAUCACAAAACAGUACAUGGGUUGUACUGAAACCAUUAUAUACGAAUGUCUCUUUUUCCACUUGUUUCAGUCUAUAUUGAGCCUAAAACAUCAAUUACCAAUACAAUGUCAUUGGAGUAUACCUGAUUACACCAAAAACAUAACAAUAAAAUGCAGUUUAACUUGACUUUUUGGACAUAACAAUAAAAUGCAGUUUAACAUGACUUUCGUAAUUAUUACAUAGUAAAUUUGCAGAAAUAGGCUUUAUGCUCAUUCAUUUUCUUCUAAAAAAUGUUUUGAGUUGUUGGAACUUGAUGAUUGAUUUCUAUGCACAAACAGUUCGAGUUAAUUCCUAUGCUUGCUAUAUUGUUUUUGGUUGUGAAUAAUGCUUAUUUGUCUUUACUGUAAGUUUGUUUCUAUUUUCUGGGCUGUUUUAUAUGCGAAUCAUCAUAGAUAUCGUGUAGCAUCCUUGAUUAUCAGUGUUCAGGAGCUAACUCCGUUUUGUCUAAUUUCUUGUUAAAUUCAACAUCUCCUGACUGUAACCUUUAUGAAGUUUCACGCUACCUGAUCACAGAAAUAAAAAUUAAAAAGAAGAUAUCUUGUAGCUUCGUUAUCCUUGACAUGAAUGUAGUGGUUAAAUGAUAAGUAUAUGAAUUACUAAAUGCUGGUACAUCAACAUGAUUCGAAUUUAAAUAUGAACUCUUCUCUCAGAUAGUUCAUGCCUUGGAGUAAAUGAGGAUACCAAUCGUUCUAUAGCAGAGGAGCUCACAGUUUCAUCUCCGCCGAUUGGAAUUUCAAGUGUAAUUGAAAAGGGUAAACUCUAUAGCAUAAGAUAUUUUGUAAUCAAGAGUUUGAACCAUGAAAAUAUCCAAUUAUCAGUAAGCAGAGGGAUUUGGGCUACUCAAGCCAUGAAUGAGGCCAUUUUGGAUGAAGCAUUUCAUGUAAGUCGUUUUUCCUUUUAUAUCCCCAUGAGUAUUAUAAUAUAAUGACCAUCUGUAAUAUAUAUAUAUAUAUAUCUUACAAUACAACAAAUGUUUGUGUUUAUUUUGCGGGCAGAAUUCCAGCAAGGUUAUACUAAUAUUCAGUGUCAACAUGAGUAAGUAUUUCCAAGGGUACGCCCAAAUGAUUUCUUCUGUUGGUUUGAGAAGAGACCAAGUUUGGAGUCAAGGAAAUGGUGGUUGUAAUCCUUGGGGUCGAAGCUUUAAAGUGAAUUGGCUGCGAUUGUAUGAUCUGCCUUUCCAAAGAACUCUUCACCUUCAGAAUCCAUGGAAUCAAUACAAACCAGUCAAAAUUAGUAGAGAUUGUCAGGCAUGGGUUAUAUUCUUGUCUUAGUACUAUUCACUUAUUUUUUCAAUGUACUCUUGUUAGUAAAGAGGCUUUUAUGACCCUGGUACAUGUAUUGCUGUCAGGAGUUACCUCCAGAUAUUGGUGAAGCUUUAUGUGAGCUCCUUGAUGGACAGGAUGCUUUGGAUGUUGAUUUGAAAAUGUAUAGCCCUUUCCUCGAAAACUUAAAUAGUGUGUUCCUGUUCCAUUAUUUGGAAACAUACAGCCUUUUCUCAAAAUUGAAUUAGUGCUAGAGUUGUGGAAUAAUUGGUCCAAAUGAUUUUUCUCUUUAUAAUUGUUAUUGGCUCAUCCAGGGAUAUCUUUGCAAGGAAUAAUCUCUCUUUUAAAAGGCCAUAUGUAGAGCCUUCACUGCAUCUUGGAGAUCAAGACUGUAAUGCAUCUCUGAUACCUAAUGGGACCAUGUUUUAUCCCUCUUUACUCUACCAACAUCAAAUUGAUGCUAGUAGACUUCACGUAGCACCUCAGAGAAUAAAAUGGUGUAUUUUCUGCUGAGGAGUCAGCCAUUGCAUCAGGGGAAUCAAAGUCGAGACAGUCUAGGCAUUCGCAGAGGAAUAGAAGCCUUGCUAAUCUUCAUGUAGAUACUUACAUGGGUCCUCAAAUUAACAUGUGGGGCUUGCCGGCAGAAAGGAGCCCACUUGCUCGUAAUUUGACUGAAGAUGACAUUCUUGAAAUGGUUUGUGUUUCCUGUCUUACCAUUAUUUAUUUAGAAGUUCUCGUCUUACCCUUAAUUUUUAAUUAUU